rnacentral:rRNA from 1 species
CGGGAGCAAUCCUGGUGGCGAGUGGCGAACGGGUGAGUAAUACAUCGGAACGUGUCCUGUAGUGGGGGAUAGCCCGGCGAAAGCCGGAUUAAUACCGCAUACGCUCUACGGAGGAAAGGGGGGGAUCUCAGGACCUCUCGCUACAGGGGCGGCCGAUGGCAGAUUAGCUAGUUGGUGGGGUAAAGGCCUACCAAGGCGACGAUCUGUAGCUGGUCUGAGAGGACGACCAGCCACACUGGGACUGAGACACGGCCCAGACUCCUACGGGAGGCAGCAGUGGGGAAUUUUGGACAAUGGGCGCAAGCCUGAUCCAGCAAUGCCGCGUGUGUGAAGAAGGCCUUCGGGUUGUAAAGCACUUUUGUCCGGAAAGAAAUCCUUUGAGCUAAUACCUCGGGGGGAUGACGGUACCGGAAGAAUAAGCACCGGCUAACUACGUGCCAGCAGCCGCGGUAAUACGUAGGGUGCAAGCGUUAAUCGGAAUUACUGGGCGUAAAGCGUGCGCAGGCGGUUCGCUAAGACAGAUGUGAAAUCCCCGGGCUUAACCUGGGAACUGCAUUUGUGACUGGCGGGCUAGAGUAUGGCAGAGGGGGGUAGAAUUCCACGUGUAGCAGUGAAAUGCGUAGAGAUGUGGAGGA